GUUGGGUGGAAAAUUGCUGAGAAGAACCAGCCAGAGACUCCAACAGAAGCAGCCAAAGCAGGGAUCUUCAGAGAUUCAGAGAACUUUCUACAGGCCCCAAGGGCUUGGCUUCAGCAGCCUAAGAAUUAUGGACAGAACGAAAGGCUAAUCAUGGUCCUGGAUCUUUUGGGGCAGAACUUUGUGAACUCCAGAUUCUGAGACAAUCGGUUUGGUAGCUCAUGGCCUUUUGGUGAGAGGAAUGAGAAAAAGAGCAAGACAGAAGCGAAGUCCUUCCGUACUUUUCUUCAUACUGCCUGUAUUAGAGCAAGAAUCCUGAGUGAACAUAUGGAAUUGUUUGAGAGUUUCACCGAAGUUAAUGCAGCAAAAGAAUUUCCAAGCUGCCCGCACUGCUGCAACAGAUCAGGGAAAAUAGCUGUGAUAGAUUGAAAUGUUUCUGAUUAAAAGAAGCAUUUCAAGAAUACACUUUCAGUGAAAAGCAAAGGCCAUGCACAUAUGAGUAUACACUGGGGAGGGGAAUUCUCCCUCCCACAGUGGCUCCUGAAUGCUGCUGUAAAAAUCCUGGAACUGGUAAAGGGAGAGUUUCUUUGGUACAGGCAUUGCACAGGCAGCCCUAGUUUGUCAUAUGAGGCACCCCACAAGUAGGGAACAUGCUAAGGACUGGAGCGGGUAGAUGCACAGCCAUAUGGGCAUUCGCAGUGUUGGCAGUACUUAUGCUGGGGGAUCCCCAGACCCUUUUUUCCCUUGGGCUACAAGUUCAGUGCUGCACCUCCAAAAGGCACAGUACAGAAUCUCAGUCUGGGUGUUUUGUGUCUGAGUGCAUGCACCCUUACAAAUAUUCAAUGCGUUAUAGGCUUAAAUCUCAUUGACUCAAAAACUCCAUCUGCAAAAUGUGUUUUUUGUCAUAGUAAAUGCCCAUCCCAUGUUCCGGGAGACCUUAAAGAAUUUAAACUGUCUAAUAACAAUUAAUAUAUUACAUACAAAACUGCCUAUAUCAACUUCUCACUGCCUAUAUAAUUGCAACUUCUGCAACCAAGUAUGGCAUUGAUAUAGAUUAUAAUAUAAUUUCUUCCAGUUCUCUCUCCAUUCCCCUCUCCCUCCCUGACAGAAAAUACACAAUGUACAGCUGCAUGUCUACCAGGUUAACCAGUCAGGUCCUGUGGGGAUAAAAAUGGAGGGAAGCACAUUCUUUCACCAAAGUGGUGGUGUUGAAGACUCCCUCUUGAUAGCUCUAUCUCUCUCACUCUGAGGGAGUUCCAACUUGAGUGCCUCUGCUAACUUCAACUGUGACAAUAUGGCUCUAGAGUGUCAAUCUCUUAUGUAACAGGGGUCCAAAUAAUGAAAGGUUUUCAAGAUCAAACCCAACACCUUGAACCUCCUGGGCACCCAUAGGCAGGCACUAUAACUUACAAAGCCCUAUUGUUAUGCUCACUGAGAUGUUGAAGUCAGUAUUUAAUAUAUGUAAAAUGUUAUAUAAAUCUAACAAUUAUUACUACAUGGGACAAUAUCUGAAGUUCACUUUGUCCCACAUAUAGUACUAAGUAGAUAUGACUCACACUGUUGAUACAAUUUUCACUAGUCCUGUUUUAGGUCUUUUUAAGGCUAGAUCACUACAUUAAGGUAGAUCAGAAUUUGUGCAUGUGUGUGUUGUGUGUAUUUGGGUAAGCAAAAUUAUAGUGCUUUUCCAUUUGCAGUCACAUACCCAAAUUGAAUCCUGAGAUGGUCACCUAUCUUCUGCCUUGUCUACACUAGAAAUGGUUUGGCAGUAGAGCUAUACUAGCAAGCCCUCAUAGUGUAGGGGCAGCAAACCCUCAUAGUGUAGGGGCAGCUUAUAUAAGCCAAAGAUUGUUUUGCUAAUAUAGUUUAUACCAGUUAUCCAAACAAAAAAGUUGUACUGGCAAAAGGACCCUUUCCUGGUCUAACUGCAUCCAUACUAGGACUUUUCUUGGCAUAGCGAAAUUGGUUAGGGGUAUGAUUUUUUCACACUCACAACUGACAUAUCUAUAUUGGCAAAACUUUUUAACACUAGACCAAGUUCAAAGUUCCCACAAAGAGUCAAAAUGGUACCAUUCUUUUAUUAAUUAGAAUAUCUUUCUUAUAAGUAUUUUCUUUUAAAACUGUCACAAUUACAUCACUGAUAUAAAAGAUAUUUUUGCGUGGAAUAUAGAAGUAGCAAGCAGAAAGACAGCUUUAGUGUGAAUUUGGCCAAUAAACAUGUGAACCAAUCAAUGGCAAAAGUCAAAGGUUACUGUAUUUGCCUUUAAGGUCAAAGCAGGAAUGAAGCUACUAUAGAAGCAUCCAGAGUUGAGAAGUCAAAUACUUAUUAACGUUGAAGGAAAGUCUGAGCUGAUUACCAGGCUUCCAAUAGGAUUCUAGAUUCCUCUUUCAAAUAAAACACAAUCAAUAUCAUCCAUCACAGCAGUCCUAUUUAUUAGAUUUUUUUUUAUUUAUUUAGGAGGUCUUUGCAGAGUUCAAUUUGUCU